CUUGGCGACCAUAGCGUUUUGGACCCACCUGACUCCAUCCCGAACUCAGAAGUGAAACGAAACAGCGUCGAUGGUAGUGUGGGGUCUC
rnacentral:rRNA from 1 species